rnacentral:rRNA from 1 species
ACUCCUACGGGAGGCAGCAGUGGGGAAUAUUGCACAAUGGGGAAACCCUGAUGCAGCCAUGCCGCGUGUGUGAAGAAGGCCUUCGGUUGUAAAGCACUUUCAGUAGGGAGGAAGGUAGUGUAGUUAACACCUGCAUUAUUUGUACGUUACCUACAGAAGAAGCACCGGCUAACUCCGUGCCAGCAGCCGCGGUAAUACGGAGGGGUGCGAGCGUUAAUCGGAAUUACUGGGCGUAAAGCGCAUGCAGGCGGCCUGUUAAGUCAGAUGUGAAAGCCCGGGGGCUUAACCUCGGAAUUGCAUUUGAAACUGGCAGGCUAGAGUCUUGUAGAGGGGGUAGAAUUUCAGGUGUAGCGGUGAAAUGCGUAGAGAUCUGAAGG